UUUUCAUAUAUUAUCACAGUGUGGCUACUAAAAAUUCUGUGAAUAAUUUAACCUCACUUUUAUUUUUAUUUUUUUUAUCUUUCAGAAAUGAAUUCCUUUAUUGCAAGAAAUUGUGAUUAUUUAUUGAUUCAGAAAGAAAACAGACUGAAGUUCUCUUGGGUCUUCUGAAUAACAUGUGUUUUAUGCUGUUCAUCACUAGAAGUAAUCCUUUUAACAAGAAACUCUUUCCUAGACCUAGAAGAUCAGAUGUGAUUCAGUAAGGUGAGUAUUGAUUAAAUAAUGUACCCAUCCACCUGGGAAUGAAGUUCAGAGAGUUUGUAGGAAAAAUUAGCCUAAAUUAUCACUGAAUAAAAAAUAAAUAUUAUUUAUUAAUACA
rnacentral:lncRNA from 1 species